AUGACUUUGAUCAGCGUCUUCAUCUGCACACUGGCCCUCUGGACUCAAGGAUCCAGAGGUCAGGUGACUGUGACUCAGACUCCUUCAGUGCAAACUGCUGAUCCAGGAAAAACAGUCACCUUCAACUGUAGAACCAGUAGCAGUGUGCUUGGUGGUAGCUAUCUACACUGGUACCUGCAGAAACCUGGAGAAGCUCCUAAACUCCUGAUCUACUAUGCUACUAACUUACAGUCAGGAACUCCAGCUCGUUUCAGUGGCAGUGGAUCUAAUACUGACUUCACUCUGACCAUCAGUGGAGUCCAGACUGAAGAUGCAGGAGAUUACUACUGUCAGAGUGUACAUGAGAUCGGUAGUAGCUAUGUGUUCACACAGUGUUAG